AGACGGAGCGCCGAGGCCGCUGGUGCCGUCCGGACCGCAGGACGGCACGUACGCGGACGGCCCGCGGCGCCGUGACGUCAGCUCGAGGUCAGUUCAGGUCACCGAGCCGGCCGGCAGCGGGCCGGACGCGGAGCGGCCCCAGGUGGCGCACUCGCAGGACCAGCAGCAGCGCGCUACGCCCGGCGUGUACUACCCGCCGGACGACGCCGACUGCGAGACCAAGUUCAAGACUAAAGAAUCGCACAAGAACGGCAACACCAAGACGGGAUUCAAGGCAAAGGGCAAGUACAAAGCACAUGGAGGCUCCAAGCAGAAGGAAGACAAGGGAGGCAAGACGAUCCCCAUUUGUCUCCCCCUGUGUGGCGGUGCGGCGUGCAGCAUUAUGUAGGGUGACAUCUAGUGGUGACAUUCAGAACUCGGCCGGGUGGUGCCAUCUGUUGAUUGAACUCGAACUACAGCUGCGCGUAUCACCCGGCGUCAGCGUGUUUUGCUGGCGCCAUGAUCGAGUCGGACCGUACGAACGCGCUCAACGUGCAACUGCGA
rnacentral:misc_RNA from 1 species